rnacentral:rRNA from 1 species
AGUGAUCGCUGGCGGCGUGCUUAACACAUGCAAGUCGAGCGAAUCUUAGCAGCACAUCGCUAAGGUUAGCGGCAGACGGGUGAGUAAUACUUGGGCAAUCUGCCCUCGAGAGGGAAACAACCUGCCGAAAGGUGGGCUAAUGUCCCAUAAGACCACAGAACGACAUCGUUCAGGGGUCAAAGCUCCGCAAGGGGCGCUUGAGGAGGAGCCCGAGUCCAUCAGCUAGUUGGUGAGGUAACGGCUCACCAAGGC